rnacentral:rRNA from 1 species
GGAGGCAACUCUGAUGCAGCAAUGCCGCGUGAGUGAAGAAGGCCCUUGGGUCGUAAAGCUCUUUUAUGGGGGAAGAUGAUGACGGUACCCCAAGAAUAAGCACCGGCUAACUACGUGCCAGCAGCCGCGGUAAUACGUAGGGUGCGAGCGUUGUUCGGAAUUACUGGGCGUAAAGGGCGCGCAGGCGGAAUAGCAAGUCGGAGGUGAAAGCCCGGGGCUCAACCCCGGAGGGUCUUUCGAAACUGCUAAUCUAGAGAGGGUCAGGGGCCAGCAGAAUUCCUGGUGUAGAGGUGAAAUUCGUAUAUAUCGGGAGGAAUACCGGUGGCGAAAGCGGCUGGCUGGGGCCACUCUGACGCUGAGGCGCGAAAGCGUGGGGAGCAAACAGGAUUAGAUACCCUGGUAGUCCACGCCGUAAACGAUGAGCACUGGACGUCCGGAGGGUUCGACCCUUCUGGGUGUCUCAGCUAACGCAUUAAGUGCUCCGCCUGGGGAGUACGGUCGCAAGACUA